rnacentral:lncRNA from 1 species
CUUCCCACAAACUGGGAGGAAAACUGAGACCUCCUGGUCACCCGCCGCCGGGCCUUUUAGAAACUCCCACAAGCUCUGCCUUCCCUCCCUGGUCCUCUUCAGACCCCCUCUUAGUUCUUCGCGGCUAACGGUAAGCUCUCUCCUUACCUCUCCCUAAUCGGCCCCUCUGGAGAGGAAAAGAAAACUUAAGAGUCGGGUCGCGCUAGCCUCCAGCAGCCGCCGCGCCCACCGACUGCUCCGCCCCUUCUCCUCCCCCUCCUCCAGGCUCGCGCUCGGGGCCGGGUGUGGAGCUGGAACAGAGGGCUGGCAAGGCGCGCAUGCGCACCGAGGGUGGAGCCGCUGAGCACAGAACCGGAAACUUAGAGACAAAGUUCGGAGCCCCGCCCCCGCCGCGCGCCGCUGAGUUGUCUGGCCCCGCCGACCCACGGCCCACGACCCACCGACCCACGAAUCGGCCCGGCCGUCGCGUGCACCAUGUCUGGCUCCUCCAGCGUCGCCGCUAUGAAGAAAGUGGUUCAACAGCUCCGGCUGGAGGCCGGACUCAACCGCGUAAAAGUUUCCCAGGCAGCUGCAGACUUGAAACAGUUCUGUCUGCAGAAUGCUCAACAUGACCCUCUGCUGACUGGAGUAUCUUCAAGUACAAAUCCCUUCAGACCCCAGAAAGUCUGUUCCUUUUUGUAGUAAAAUGAAUCUUUCAAAGGUUUCCCAAACCACUCCUUAUGAUCCAGUGAAUAUUCAAGAGAGCUACAUUUGAAGCCUGUACAAAAGCUUAUCCCUGUAACACAUGUGCCAUAAUAUACAAACUUCUACUUUCGUCAGUCCUUAACAUCUACCUCUCUGAAUUUUCAUGAAUUUCUAUUUCACAAGGGUAAUUGUUUUAUAUACACUGGCAGCAGCAUACAAUAAAACUUAGUAUGAAA